UAUAUCAAUAACACAAUUAUCACCCGGUC
rnacentral:piRNA from 1 species